rnacentral:rRNA from 1 species
AUUGAACGCUGGCGGCAUGCCUUACACAUGCAAGUCGAACGGCAGCACGGGAGCAAUCCUGGUGGCGAGUGGCGAACGGGUGAGUAAUAUAUCGGAACGUGCCCAGUAGUGGGGGAUAACUGCUCGAAAGAGCGGCUAAUACCGCAUACGACCUGAGGGUGAAAGGGGGGGAUCGCAAGACCUCUCGCUAUUGGAGCGGCCGAUAUCAGAUUAGCUAGUUGGUGGGGUAAAGGCCUACCAAGGCAACGACGGGUAGCUGGUCUUAGAGGACGACCAGCCACACUGGAACUGAGACACGGUCCAGACACCUACGGGUGGCAGCAGUCGAGAAUCUUUCACAAUGGGGGCAACCCUGAUGGAGCGACGCCGCGUGGAGGAUAAGGUCUUCGGAUUGUAAACUCCUGUCAUGCGAGAACAAGGUACUCAGGCUAAUAACCUGAUUGUUUGAUGGUACCGCAAGAGGAAGAGACGGCUAACUCUGUGCCAGCCGCCGCGGUAAGAC